ACGUUUAGGUAAUCGCUGCAACCUAUAGGGUUGUAGAGGAAAGUCCAUGCUCGCACAGUGCUGUGAUGCCUGUAGUGUUCGUGCCUAGCGAAUUCAUAAGCUAGGGCAGCUGGAUUAAUCCGGUUGACGGCAGAGAAAAAGCCUAAGUCCAUUGGAUAUGGCUUGACUAUCUUGAAAGUGCCACAGUGACGGAGUCUUACAAGAAAUUGUAAGGGUGGAACGGGGUAAACCCCACGAGCGAGAAACCCAAAUAAUGGUAGGGGCAUCUUCUUGGAGGAAACGAACGAAAAGAAGGACAGAUGCAAUUAAUUGCUUCUGUAGAUAGAUGAUUACCACCUGAGUACGAGGCUUAGCCGUUUGCAGUACAAUGGAACAAAACAUGGCUUAUCGAA
rnacentral:RNase_P_RNA from 1 species